UUUGUGGUGGCUGGUAUUUUCAGAGAGAAGGGUCAAAUUCUUUUAGGAGUUCAAGCAGUUGCUCCAAGAGGUUUCCCAUAUUUAUGUUCUCAGCCCUUUAAUUUUAUUCAUUAAAAAUCUCCUCCUUGGACCAAAUUCAUCUCUCAGUUACACCCAUAAAAUUUUACUGGAGUCAAUAGGGUUUCAGGAGUGUCACCAAGAGCAGAAUUUGGUCUUUUGCUUUGUCAGAAAAUGAUUAGCAGCUAACUAAAAACAAGAAUGAGGAAAAGGGGAUUGGAGUUACAAAACUAGGUAAAUGUAAACUUCACACAGUGUAGUCUUACAAUAAGAGCAGGAGACUGGGGGUCAGAACUUCUGGAUUCUAAUCCACCUGCGGCCAUAGCUUCCCUAUAUGGUGCCUGGCAAAUCACUGAGACCUGUGCAUGAAAAGUGCUACAUAUAAGCUAAGUAUUAAUAUUAAUUACUAUCAUUGCACAUGCAAAUGGCUAAUUAUAGCAAUGUGGGUAUGCAAUUACCUGAUUUGUACAUGCAGUCACGGUAAUUGCAUGUGUAACCUUUUAAAAAUCAAGAUUCUAAUUUCAAUAAGAUAUUUGAUGGUGAAAAUGUGAAAGUGGCCACAUGAUCUAAGUUUUGGUAAGGUUAAUGUUUAAACUGAUGGCCUUAAAAAUAAGGGCCACUUAAGUGAAUGGGAGUUUGGAUUGAGUAACAAUUGCAGGAUUGGCCCCUAAUACCAUUCCAGCUAUACUUCCAGCUUUGAUGUGGUGCAAGUUUAUUCAUAGAUGUUUUGUUUUCUGAGCGCAGGAUAGACAAUGUCGCAUACCAUAGCAUUGUCCUUUAUGCUACCAACAUUAAAUAUGGAAACACUGACACAAAUGGAACUCGAGUGGUGUGAAUGGCUAGUGGUAAAGAUCAGUCAGUGUUUCCAUUUUAAACCUCUGCUUUCAUAGUUCUAGAACUAGGACCAUACAGUUCACAUUGGGUUGAAAUAUGACGCAGAAAUUCUCAGCCAGGGUAUGAAUUACUUUUUAAAAGAAAAUAUGUCUGAGUGUGGCCAUUUUUAAGUGGGAGUUCAAAGAAAUAGAAGUUAAUGGUUUCAGAGGGGAGGGCAUAAUACAGUUGGGUCAAUUUCAGUUUCUGAAUGAGCGAGAGACAAAAAACCUCAAUGUGCUAACAAUUCUGUACGUCUCUGCUGUAUGUUAAGUGAGCCUAUUCCCUCUCUUUCGCCUUCACAGUUCUGUAAAAUAUUACACCUUUAUCUUAAAAGGCACUGAAUUACACAAAGAAACUAAAGAUAAGUUUUUGGUACUUUCCAAACUUGAAAUAUUUCCUCUGGUAAAUUUCCCCCACAUGAGAUCAGUUAACCGAAAACAGGAUGUGGCUCACAAAGAGAUUAAGAUUUGAAGCUUAACUAUAGACCCAUUGCAUACUAUAGACCCAUUGCAUUGAUGUUGGCUUUGCAGGGGUAGUGUAUUAGUAUAUAGGCUGGCUUAUCAAUUUUAUAUCUAAGGGGAAAUGUAAUGCAGGGACAUAUUUAGAUUCAGGGUAAAAUUUCCAUUAGCACAUAAAUUACUUAAGACUUUCAAUGAUCCAUAGGUUCCUAAAAACAACAAGGAGUCCGGUGGCACCUUAAAGACUAACAGAUUUAUUUGGGCAUAAGCUUUUGUGGGUAAAAAACCCACUUCUUCAGAUGCAUGGAGUGAAAAUUACAGAUGCAGGCAUUAUUAUACUGACACAUGAAGAGAACAGAGUUACCUUACAAAUGGAGAACCAUUGUUGACAGGGCCAAUUCAAUCAGGGUGGAUGUAGUCCACUCCCAAUAGCUGAGGAGGAGGUGUCAAUACCAGGAGAGGGAAAGUUGCUUUUGUAGUGAAGUUCCUAAGUGCCUAAAUCACUUUUGAAAAUGGGAUUUAGGCUUAUAAGUCACUUUUAGGUGCUUUUAAAAAUUUUACUUCAAGUAUUUACAACAUUUUCUGGGCCAAGAGUCCCAGUUUGAAGAUAGACACAAAAUGAAUGGGAUCUGGAUGCCCAUUCAAUGCAUAGUUUUAAAUUAAUAUAAAAUGGCUGAAAAUGUAGGUAUGCGGUAGGAGGGACCCUGAAAAAUUGUUAAAACUAGAAAAAAAAAACUAAGUUAAUAAAACAAGGUCAGUCUCUCAAUGAGACACAAUACUUCCAGUAGUUACAGUUGAGGACUCCAAGUCAAGAUUCUUGACUGUAUUUCCUAUUCUGCCACUGAGUUGUUUUUAACUUUGAGUACAUCACCUCUUUGACUGACUUUACCCACUUAUACAAUAGGGGUACUAAUAACUAUGUACCUACCUUCCAGAAGUGUCAUGGGACUUAUUAAUGUUUGCACUGUGCUUUGUGAUAUUCAAAUUAAAAGUGCUAUAAAAGAGAAAAGUAUAAUUGGAUCCCAGUCCAAAGCAAAGUGACAGCUUUGCCACCAUACCAUGUCUGGUCUCGGAUGCAUUCUUUUAGGUUGCUUUUGUUGUAAUACCUCCCACUGUACUUACUGCUAGUUUUACCUUUUGUAUGUUACAUUUACACACUGCAGACCUGGUCCAACUUUGAUUGAAGUAGAUGGAAAGAUUUCCACUAACUUCAAUGGAAGGUGAAUUGUAUUCUGGCACAGAUGCUGGGAAUCAAUAUUUUUCCCUUGAUCCACACUCUACCUCUGUAUUUUUCCAGUUUAUAUUUACUGUAAAAUACUAUUAUCCUCAGUUUACUAGUGAAGAAAUUAAUUUCAGGAACAGCUGUUUGGGAACAUCACUUUGGCACUUGUCAAAAAAUGUAAGAAGUGUCCCAUGCUGAUCUUGUUUUAGUCAUUCACUAAAGUAGUUUCAAUGAUACAAACCAAGGAGUCAUCUUAGGCAAGAGAAGGUCCAAAGAUUAAAAUGUGCCUCCUUGUCACGAUUUGCUCAUUAACUUUUGCAAACUACUCUAUUGCAGGACAAAAAUUAACUGAGAAGAGUACCUGCCUCUGGUUUUAAGGAUCAUGAUUAUUCAAGCCCUGUCUACUCUAAGGAAAUCCACAACAAUGCAACUGUAUUGCUGUCACUACGUCAGUGCAAACAUCUAAUGUAGACAUGCCAAACUGGCACAAAGCUGGUCUUACACAGUGCAGUUUACUUCGGCCUCUCACCAGAUUACACCAUGCUUUGCACCGGUACAGCCAGUCUACAUUAGGGGGUUUUGCUGCUGUAACUAUAUUACUGUUGUUACUAUAAUUACAUUAACUUUGUGUUUAUACCAAUGUGAAUUUCCUUAAUGUAGACAGGGCCUGAUCCCGACUGGAAAAUUCUUACCUGCUCAUUUCCUUUCUAAUUGCUUUGGAGGAAACACUGGGGAUGUGGCUAUGCCCACCUGUCAGGCUGUCAAAGAGUUCUUCCAAAGCUCUGGAGGUAACAUUUGGAAAACCAAGCUAAAAUGUAAUAUCUUCUCACUGUGAAACAGAUGGCAAAAUACGACCGUUCCAUUUCUAUAUACACCAAUUCACUGUUUGCUAUGGAACCCCUCAUUAACCUAGGUAAACUUAGUGCCUUUGGUGGGACGGAUUAGUGGAAACAUUUACAGGAGAAAGGAAAUGAGCAGAUAAGACAUUCCCACUCUCUUACAUAAUGUCCCCAUUAAUCUUUACUGAAGGGAAACAACAAGAAACAAAUGGGGUAGAGGGAGAAGGCGAUAGUAAACCCAGUGGUUUGGAGCUGUGUUCCGGCUCCAUUCCAGCUCCAGGCAAAAACCUGCAGCUCCACUGCUCCGGAGCUGCUCUGCACUCCAGCUCUGGGCUCCACUCCAAAGCCCUGCCCAGUGGGACCCUUGAUAUUUAGCUGACUGGAGCACCCUUGUCCUCGAGACAUCAGCGGAUGCUUAAAAGAUGAGCUUGUAAUCCUUGAUGGAAAUAGGAAGAGAGAACUAUGUUGUAGCCUUGUAUCUCUCUUCCACUAAGUAGCUUUAAUGUCAUUGGGAUUGGUUUUUCUGAGGUUACAGCUUUGCAACAGUGUAUCCAGCUCUCAAUAGAAGGUUUAAAAUGAUAUUUGACCUUUGCAUGUUGGAUGCUAUGAGAGAAAUCAUGCUUAAGCUUCCUUAAAAUGUAUGUAAUUGUUUUAAGCAGUACACGGCCCCUGCAGUCAUCCAAAGCAUGCCAAACUAUUUCUUGAGGGAGUUUCUUUUAUAAACACUUGAGUAUUGUUUAAUUUUAACUAAAGCUCAAUAAAAACACCUGAAGUUAAAGUGAAUCCACCUGAUUGUACUGUCUGCUUAGUAGGGCUGUUUUUAAUCACACAAGGAGAACAGGAUAUUGCCCAGGGCAGCAAAGUGUACAAGGACUGUUUAUGUGAGUGACUGAGUGUAGACCAUCAGGAAUGUACACAUUGUCCAGUUAGCCUAGGGUAGCAACUCCUGUAGGAUCACAGCGCUGGCUUCUCAGUUCAUCAGUAAAUAACUCAGAUCACUACAAAGUCUCACCCUUGCUAUCUGCAGACCACCCACAGUGCGCAAAGUACUACCUAGAUGCACUAAUCACACUAAUUGAUUUCCUUGCCUUUUACUUUUCUCAGCUGAAGCAAAUAAGCAAGAGAAAGUCACCCCUCCUUACUCUCUUCAGUCAAACAUCAACUUCUGGAAGAAGCCACAUGCAGAUGCUUUGAUUCCUAUGUUGUAGGAUCACUCACACUCUGGCACAGAGACAUGACUGAUGUGAGGAAAUCUAAGUAUUCACAGAGUAAGAGGACUUUAAGGAGGAAUUUGAAGGAGACAGUAGGGUGCUUAGUGCCUGCAAAAGAGGAAACUUUUUCAAGCAUGGAGUGGCAUGGAGAGUAAAAGUGAAAACGGGAGAAGGCUCAAAAAGUACAUCAUUGUACACAAGUUCCCAGAAGAGUCCUUGGAACGCAGCAAAGGAAACAGACCUUGAAACUCCAUAUGGAACGUCUGCAUCUCGAACUGGACGCUGGAACCACAGCGCAAAUGGAUGGGACACAAAGUAUUUGGGAAACGAAUGCUUCCGUCUGUUCCAGUUUGGUGUCAAUGGGUCUUCCUGAAAGAAACAGAAACACAGACAUGUUGCACAAUCUAAUGCAGCAAUAUUUUAUCUGUUUAAUUAAAAGCAUACCUAACUCUUUCCACUCUAAUUAACUUUUGCUUCAUAGGCUAGGAUUGGAAUGUAUCACUUGUGAACAAGCUUAUGGGAAGGAGUGCCCUCUACUGGGGCUGUCUCUUUAGGGAGCUGUUCAGUUCAGAACUAGUGACCAAAGAAGGAGAAAUAACAAGCCACAUGUACCAGGUACAAACAGAGUUGUAUGAAACUUGCUGGUUUGGGGCCAUGGGGAUUUGGUUUCAAUCCAUGUUGGCUCAGACACUCUGCCCUAAAUUCACCCUGGUGUAAAUCUAUUUUCUCCAGCUGAGUUUCAUGAGGGAUGAAUUUGACCUCCUGAGUUUCACUUUGAAUUUUGGAUGCUAACCCUAGACUCAAAGUGAAAGUUGAUUCUACCAAGUUUCUCCUAGUGUCAUGUGGAAACUGUGCAAAAUGGUGAAUUUCACUCAGCUUUGAUGGGAAGCCACAAAUGGCACCAAGGUCAUUCAACUGAUUCACAGAGAGACUGGCUUGAGUUAUUUUUGCAUAACCACAAGGUGGGCAAGUUUCAUACAGUUUUGGGUUUUCUUAUGAAAAUGUUGCAGAGCUCUAAAUGGGAGAGGGUGCUCCCUAUGGUAAAAGGGGCUAUGUCUCACUCCUUCCCUGCAGCCACCAUGCCCUGAGAGAUUCAUUCCAGGGGUCAAUGUUUCUGUCACAAGAAAAUCCUAAAAGUUUUGUUAUGAAAAACAAUCUUUACAAGAGGCCACAGGUUCUGGCCCCUCAGAAGGAACCAUUCCAAGAUGGUAGCUGCCAGCACCUCCUCUGAGAUGUCUAGAUGUCUUUCCACAACUGCUGGGAAUAAUAAAUAAUACUUGCCCUGCUAUAGUGCCUUCCAUUCAAAGAUCCCAAAGCACUUUGCAAACGUUAAUGAGCUGAGUCUCACAAUAACCCCUCCUCCCCCCAGUGAAAUACAGCACAGGAAGGCUAAAGGCCAGGAUUUCAAAAAUGGCCUCUGAUUUUGUGUCUCUCGGGUUUGGGUGCCCAACUAGAGAUACUCUGGUCUUGAUGUUCAAGAUUCUGAAUAUUUAUAGUACCCAUUGACUUCAAAUGGCGUUGCAAGGGCUCAGUGCCCCUGACAAGCAGGACCAAGAUGCCUCAAGUUGGGCACCCAAAGUCAGAGACCAUUGGAUAAAGAUCAUUCCAUAGACGACUUGUCAAAGAUUAUGCAGUAAGUCUGUGGCAGAACCUCAGCCUCCUGACUGCCAGUCCUAUUCUAUAGCCAGAAGACAUGCUGCUUCUCAGGAGGCCCAACCCUCAUCCCACAGAAGACAAUGGGAAACAUUUGCUAAAACAGCUUUUCAAUACAUAAUAAUAUGAAGAUCUUAAGGUCUGAUACAUCACAAGCUAACCGGUAUAGAAACUAUUUAUAAUCCUUUUAGGAAUUUAAAUCUGUCAGUGGUCCAGGACUGAAUACUCCCCAUUGUGGGCCUUGUCUGGUGUAAUUUUCGGUAGAAAUUUCUCAUUUGGGAAAGACACAUCAGGCUGAUUUUUAGAAAUAAGUAAAUAAAAUAGUGGCUAUUCAAGAGCUACUCACACUCAGAGAUGGAUCGGGGGUAGAGCGUGAGUGAGAUCAAAGGUGCAUGAUAAAUGCAUGUGUCAUAUAGCACUGCAGUGUAUUUCAUGGCUGUGAGCAACACACAUGUGGUGUGUGUAUACUGAAAGUCAGAUCCCUGGCUGGAGUAGCAGAGCUGAAGAUAUGACCCUGUAUGUAUCAGUUUUGUAAGAAAAAGUUUUCCUUUCAAAAGAGAUUUCCAAAUUACUUGUGUUUUUGUAAAUCAGUAAAAGAAAAGCGUAAUAGCCUGUGGGAAAAUAAUGCACUGUUGUGUUUACUCUUUUAAGGCCAAGCUAGACAACGCAAGUCCGAGAGCGAAAUUCCUUGAAACCAACUUAUAGCAUACUAGAACCAGACUCCCAGUCUUUCUGUUUCUCUUGGAGUUUUAUUUUACCAGCAUCAGCAGGGCUGCAGUUAUUAAGAGUAAAUUGAUUUUCCAUUGUAACCCCCAAUUCCUGUGCUUUAAUAUCUCAGCUGAUUCAAAAUGCAUCCCAUGUAGUGUAAUUUUAUUUUUGUAUUUUUUUUUUAAUAAAAAAAACCACCUAGUU